GAUUAUUGAGGACAGAACAGGCAUCUGUCGCCCUUGUGGAGAUGUAGGACACGCCGCCCUACCAAUAAUC
rnacentral:ncRNA from 12 species